AUACGGAGGGGACUAGCGUUGUUCGGAAUUACUGGGCGUAAAGCGUACGUAGGCGGAUCAGAAAGUAUGGGGCGAAAUCCCAGGGCUCAACCCUGGAACUGCCUCAUAAACUCCUGGUCUUGAGUUCGAGAGAGGUGAGUGGAAUUCCGAGUGUAGAGGUGAAAUUCGUAGAUAUUCGGAGGAACACCAGUGGCGAAGGCGGCUCACUGGCUCGAUACUGACGCUGAGGUACGAAAGUGUGGGGAGCAAACAGGAUUAGAAACCCUAGUAGUCC
rnacentral:rRNA from 1 species